AGCCCUCAGCAAUGGGCAAAGAGACCUUGCUGGUGGUGGCGUUCUUAUAUCAGUCAAGGGCAGAGAAGAUGGCAGUUCUCUGUUCAUCCUAGCUUGAUGCUUGGGUUAGUGGCCAAGGCUGUUUUAUGUCUAGGAUUCAUAA